GCCGCGGUGGCGCGGUCGGUAGCGUCUCAGACUAGCACUCUGGUGGUCGCCGGUUCGAUUCCUGCGACUACUGCU
rnacentral:tRNA from 1 species